rnacentral:rRNA from 1 species
UACGUAGGGGCCUAGCGUUGUCCGGAAUUAUUGGGCGUAAAGAGCUCGUAGGCGGUUCGGCAAGUCGGAUGUGAAAUCCCCGGGCUUAACCUGGGAAUGGCAUUGGUGACUGCACGGCUAGAGUGUGUCAGAGGGGGGUAGAAUUCCACGUGUAGCAGUGAAAUGCGUAGAGAUGUGGAGGAAUACCGAUGGCGAAGGCAGCCCCCUGGGAUAACACUGACGCUCAUGCACGAAAGCGUGGGGAGCAAACAGG